rnacentral:tRNA from 1 species
CCCUAGUUAGCUCAGUUGGUAGAGCAGUUGGUAGAGCGUUCCACUGGAAAUGGAGAGGUCCCAGGUUCGAUACCCGGACCAGGCA